AUACGGAGGGUGCAAGCGUUGCUCGGAAUCACUGGGCGUAAAGCGUACGCAGGCGGUUUACUAAGUCGGGUGUGAAAGCCCAGGGCUCAACCCUGGAACUGCAUUCGAAACUGGUAGACUUGAGUACGGGAGAGGAGAGCGGAAUUCCUGGUGUAGAGGUGAAAUUCGUAGAUAUCAGGAGGAACACCCGUGGCGAAAGCGGCUCUCUGGCCUGAUACUGACGCUCAUGUACGAAAGCGUGGGUAGCAAACAGGAUUAGAAACCCUUGUAGUCC
rnacentral:rRNA from 1 species